rnacentral:rRNA from 1 species
UCGACCUGAGCUCAGGCAAGACUACCCGCUGAACUUAAGCAUAUCAAUAAGCGGAGGAAAAGAAAUCAACCGAGAUGCCCUUAGUAACGGCGAGCGAACCGGGCAAAGCCCAACUUGAAAAUCUCCAGCCUAUGGCUGGCGAAUUGUAGUCUAGAGAAGCGCUCUCUGCCCCACCCCGGCCCCAAGUCCCCUGGAAAGGGGCGUCAAAGAGGGUGAGAACCCCGUUGGGACCGGAUUUUGGGGCUCCACGAGACGCUUUCGUAGAGUCGGGUUGCUUGGGAAUGCAGCCCAAAGAAGGUGGUAAAUCCCAUCUAAGGCUAAAUACAGACGGGAGACCGAUAGCGAACAAGUACCGUGAGGGAAAGAUGAAAAGAACUUUGAAAAGAGAGUUAAAAAGUACUUGAAAUUGUUGAGAGGGAAGCGAUUGGAUCCUACGGGUGCGCCCAGGCACACGCCUGCCUAACGGUUGGCUGAAUGCGCUGGGUGCUGGUCAGCAUGGGUUGUCCGGGCGGGAUAAAACCGGGGGUUGUUACCCCGGCUAUGUCGCCUGGCCGACCGAGGAACGAAGGGCGCUCUUUGAGUCCUCCGGGAACUGCGCCCUCAAGAUGCUGCC